CCCGCCUUGACAGCGGAGGCCCCCACACCAAGGCCCUUGGACUAAGCGGGGCAGGGACAGCCUCCAGGUAGAGCUGUUCGCCGGGGCGCCUGCAGAGCCCGCAUCCCAACCCUGACCCCGGGGCCGGGGCGCAGGCUCCUGGAGGGAGGCGUCCAGGCGGGACAGGGCCCGGGGAGCGGCAGGAAAUGGGCUGCUCUUCCCACUUGACUGACGGGAAAACUAAGGCACGGUCAACUAUCAAGCAAGCGUGGUGUCGACCUUAGAGCAGGACUGAAGCGAGGCUGAAAUCUUAGAAUCAACCCCACGGAAUGAAGAGGUUGUCCUAAUUCCAGCACUGAGUGAAAAUGCCGCGGCCGCAAUGGCGGCGGAUGUGGAGGGGGACGUGUACGUACUGGUGGAGCACCCCUUCGAGUACACCGGCAAGGACGGGCGCCGCGUGGCCAUCCCGCCCAAUGAGCGCU
rnacentral:lncRNA from 10 species